GGGUGUGCAUUUCUUUUGUGUGAACAGGGCAUUAGUUCGAUAUCGGGGGCAUUGAAAAGUUGCCUGGGACUUGGGAGUUUCCAUGGAUCGUCUAGUCAAGUUUACUCGUCUCGAACGCAUUGUCUUUUCUGUUUCACUAGUAGGUUUGUAAUAACUUAUGAACUAGAUUUCUUGUAACAUUAAGAAUAAGGGCUUUUAUCAUUUGGGUUGGAGAAACAUAAUGUGCUACAUGUUUCUCUUUUCAAUUUUU
rnacentral:misc_RNA from 1 species